GGGGUUGCAGCUCAGUGGUAGAGCACUUGCCUAGCAUGUAUGAGGCACUGGGUUUGAUUCUCAGCACCA
rnacentral:tRNA from 1 species